rnacentral:rRNA from 1 species
CCUACGGGAGGCAGCAGUGGGGGCUAUUGCACAAUGGGGGGAACCCUGAUGCCGCGAAGCCGCGUGUGGGAAGACGGUCCUCUGGAUUGUAAACCACUGUCCCCAGGGACGAAAAUGACGGUACCUGGGGAGGAAGCUCCGGCUAACUACGUGCCAGCAUCCGCGGUAAUACGUAGGGAGCGAGCGUUGUCCGGAAUUCCUGGGUGUAAAGGGAGCGUAGGCGGGGAUGCAAGUUGGGUGUCAAAACUACCGGCUCAACUGGUAGUCGCACUCAAAACUGCAGCUCUUGAGUGAAGUAGAGGCAGGCGGAAUUCCUAGUGUAGCGGUGAAAUGCGUAGAUAUUAGGAGGAACACCAGUGGCGAAGGCGGCCUGCUGGGCUUUUACUGACGCUGAGGCUCGAAAGUGUGGGGAGCAAACAGGAUUAGAUACCCUUGUAGUC